rnacentral:rRNA from 1 species
AUUGAACGCUGGCGGAAUGCUUUACACAUGCAAGUCGAACGGCAGCACGGACUUCGGUCUGGUGGCGAGUGGCGAACGGGUGAGUAAUGUAUCGGAACGUGCCCAGUCGUGGGGGAUAACGUAGUGAAAAUUACGCUAAUACCGCAUACGAUCUAUGGAUGAAAGCGGGGGAUCGCAAGACCUUGCGCGAUUGGAGCGGCAGAUAUCAGAUUAGGUAGUUGGUGGGGUAAAGGCCCACCAAGCCAACGAUCUGUAGCUGGUCUGAGAGGACGACCAGCCACACUGGGACUGAGACACGGUCCAGACUCCUACGGGAGGCAGCAGUGGGGAAUUUUGGACAAUGGGCGAAAGCCUGAUCCAGCCAUUCCGCGUGCAGGAUGAAGGCCCUCGGGUUGUAAACUGCUUUUGUACAGAACGAAAAGGUUUCUACUAAUACUAGGAGCUCAUGACGGUACUGUAAGAAUAAGCACCGGCUAACUACGUGCCAGCAGCCGCCGUAA